AUUGAACGCUGGCGGCAUGCUUUACACAUGCAAGUCGAACGGCAGCGCGGGCUUCGGCCUGGCGGCGAGUGGCGAACGGGUGAGUAAUACAUCGGAACGUGCCCAGCUGUGGGGGAUAGCUCGGCGAAAGCCGGAUUAAUACCGCAUACGACCUGAGGGUGAAAGCGGGGGAUCUUCGGACCUCGCGCUCUUGGAGCGGCCGAUGGCAGAUUAGCUAGUUGGUGGGGUAAAGGCCUACCAAGGCGACGAUCUGUAGCUGGUCUGAGAGGACGACCAGCCACACUGGGACUGAGACACGGCCCAGACUCCUACGGGAGGCAGCAGUGGGGAAUUUUGGACAAUGGGCGAAAGCCUGAUCCAGCAAUGCCGCGUGUGUGAUGAAGGCCUUCGGGUUGUAAAGCACUUUUGGCGGGAACGAAAAGGACUGUGCCAAUACCACGGUUCGAUGACGGUACCCGAAGAAUAAGCACCGGCUAACUACGUG
rnacentral:rRNA from 1 species